rnacentral:rRNA from 1 species
GAGUUUGAUCCUAGCUCAGAGUGAACGCUGGCGGUAGGCCUAACACAUGCAAGUCGAACGGCAGCACAGUAAGAGCUUGCUCUUAUGGGUGGCGAGUGGCGGACGGGUGAGGAAUACAUCGGAAUCUACUUUUUCGUGGGGAUAACGUAGGGAAACUUACGCUAAUACCGCAUACGACCUACGGGUGAAAGCAGGGGAUCUUCGGACCUUGCGCGAUUGAAUGAGCCGAUGUCGGAUUAGCUAGUUGGCGGGGUAAAGGCCCACCAAGGCGACGAUCCGUAGCUGGUCUGAGAGGAUGAUCAGCCACACUGGAACUGAGACACGGUCCAGACUCCUACGGGAGGCAGCAGUGGGAAUAUUGGACAAUGGGCGCAAGCCUGAUCCAGCCAUACCGCGUGGGUGAAGAAGGCCUU